rnacentral:rRNA from 1 species
CCCUUAGAUGUCCUGGGCCGCACGCGCGUUACACUGAUGCAUUCAACGAGCUUAUAACCUUGGCCGAGAGGCCUGGGCAAUCUUGUUAACGUGCAUCGUGAUGGGGAUAGAUUAUUGAAAUUAUUAAUCUUGAACGAGGAAUUCCUAGUAAACGCAGAUCAUCAAUCUGCAUUGAUUACGUCCCUGCCCUUUGUACACACCGCCCGUCGCACCUACCGAUUGGAUGGUCCGGUGAAGCCUCGGGAUUGUGGUUCUUGCCGCUUUAUUGUGGCGUGACCGCGAGAACUUGUCUAAACCUUAUCAUCUAGAGGAAGGUGAAGUCGUAACA